UAAAAAGACCACAGACUCCUUCAA
rnacentral:siRNA from 1 species